AUUUACUCCUUUAAACCCACGCUUGUAAUACACUAAGAGAAAGGAGGACUUGCUGUUAUUCUGAGAUUAGAGAAUCAUGUGAAGCUUACUUGGGGUCCACUGACAAAAAGCUUGCAUUGUGUUGCAGUGUGCAUUUGCAAACUCUGCAACAUCUGGAGGAACUGGUGCCCUGUUGCCUGGCUGAAGGCAUUUUAUGAAGCUGGUCUUGGAUCAUAAGAAAGAAGUCUUGUUGGUUUGGGGCUGAUUAUUACCAGGUACAUUUGAAAAUGAUUCUAUCCACUGAAUCAUAAUCCAUGAUUUUUUAAGAUAAAAAAUACUAAGAGCCGUGGUGGCGCAGUGGUUGGAGUGCAGGCUACUUCUGCUGACUGCUGGCUGCCUGCAAUCUGUCAGAUCGAAUCUCACCAGGUUCAAAGUUGACUCAUCCUUCCAUCCUUCCGAGAAUGAAAAGUUUGGUGAUAUCGGGUGUGUCCUGUGAGAUUACCUCAAAGAAAAGGAUGUCUUUGAGAUUCAAACUGGCCUAGAAGACAAUUAUUGGUGCGGAAGUAUCUUGCCAAUGGGGCAAGGGUUGUCUAAUAAUGCACUUCUUCCAUCAAGCUGCUGGGAGGAAAGAAGUCAGAACUAAUGAAAGCUUGCUUUAAGCAAUUGUGAUCAUUCUUUGCAGACAAAGUUGAGCAGAUCAAUUUGUAUUGAUUUCAGUAUUGGAGCAAGUUACAGACAAUGAUAAUUGUCUGUCAAGUUUAUAUGAUUGCCUUUGGCCAUAUGGAAGUAAAUCUUGAGGAUGUGGGAAGAUUUGUGGAAAAACAAGGGUCAUUGCUUGUUUACUUAACCCUUAUCCUUCCUGGCUGAUUAAGUCAUCUUAGACUGGUUAAGGGAAGUGAUUAACACUUUCUUCAGGCCAGCACAGAUCCAUCCUUGAAUUUUCCAUUCUCAGAUAAAGUGGUUGAGAAAAUGAUAUCCUUAUAGUUCCAGCUGCAUCUGAGUGAAAACUGGUUUUCUGGGUCCAUUUCUACGGGGGUGAUAUUUCCAGUGUUGAAGAUAUAGUUUGUUUGAAAUACUUCACACUUUGUUUCAACAUUUCAUAUAACUAAGUUUGCUUUAAUUAAGGUGAGGGUUAUCACUGAGAUGACACAAAGCAAUGGAGACAAUAUAUUCCCUUGACAGAUUCCUCUUCUGAGGUUUACAUUUCCAUUUUAUUCACUACUUACUAUUAGCAUUUUCCAUUUUCCCCCCCACGCUUCUUUUACUAAAUUCUGGCUGUUUCAAUUCAUGGGAAAUAUAUUCAGAUAUUUUUGUACUGAGCUAUGUGGAAGAGAACCAGAUGCUCUUUUAUUAUCAAUUUAAACCAUUUGUAAGUUGUUUUUUCUUUGCUUGCAUUUUUUUUUGUUUCUUUCCCCAGAAUAGAAGCAAUGAAUUUUUGAACAUGUAACCUGAAAGUACAGUUGCUUAAUAUACAAGUGACCAACUUAAACACUGUUGGCAAUCAAGUAAUUGGUUUGUAGUUGCCUACAGCCACACCCUUGUUGCUGUUAUUUUUUGCUAAAAAUAUUUUACCUUUUAUUAUCCAUUCUUUUAGCUUUUCCAGUUUGUAGAAUUCUACUACUGUAAAUUGAAUAGUCAGUCUUUUAUAGAGAGCCAUCAGAUGCUUAAGUCAAAAUCCAACUGAACUUGCUAUUUUCUUAGUACACUCCACUUCUUAGCUUUUUUGGUUUGCUUUUUAAUCAUUUCUGAUAUUAUGAUCAUAUCAUUCAUUUUAAUUUGAGCCAAUGUUUUUCUCAAUCUCUUUUAUCUAUGUUGCAUCUUUAUUAUGUUCUUUGGGAUUCUCCCAGAGGUUGCUCCAAAAUUUAACGUUUCACCUUUAUCAGGGCAAGCAUCUAUGGUUGUAUAGUAUUUCCUAGAAAUGUUUUAUAAAAUGGAUGCUGGUUUGCUGAUAACUACUGAUGUCAAAAUUGUCAUUUUAUUUAAUAUCAUUUAUUUUUCUUUGAACAUAAAUCAUUGAUUUAAUUCUUCUGAGGUGUUCUUAAUUGUCUUAGUUGAUUUUAUUAUUUUUCAGUUUUCUGUCCUUCAGAUUUUUUUAGAUUGUUGAUAGCAUUUCUUAUUAUAUUGAUCAUUUUUUUCCAAUCAAACUUUCCAAUUUGGUUACUAAGCUUUUGUUUUCCGGCCUUCUGUCCCAAUUCUGGUGCUAUACUAUAAAUCAAUUGAUUCAUUUUAACCAAAACUAGAACUAAAAACUUUAUUUCAAUAUUUUCCAUAAAUUUGCAUCUUUCAAAACUUUUGAUUUUGUUUUUAACUGUCUUUUUCAAUGAUGGGAGCAGUAUAGUUUGAGUUUUUCAUAUGUUCAAUUAUUUUUUCAGUUGUAUUUGUUGUCAGAGAACUGAUGUUCAGCAUUUGUUUGC